rnacentral:lncRNA from 1 species
AUGGUCAAUGUGAAAAGCUGCGGAAACAAAAGGUUUUCUCAAAACUAACAGUCACUGCUGUCCUGCCUUUGAAAACAUUGACCCUCAUCUUGUUAUUCAUUGACAACUGAAUAAGGCCCGCAAAGAAUCAUGGGGUAGGAGAAAUACAAAGGUGGAGACAAUAGAUGCUGAAAAGAUGGUCUCUCACAUACCUUUAGAGGGGUUCAUCUAUAUUUAAAUGAACAGAUCUGAAUUAGAAUCUGUAGGGUUAAGGUUUGGAGGAAUAUGUGGUCCUUAAAUGAAACAGAAACGUGUUAAUGCAAGAACACAUGACUUCAUGACUUUUCCAAUUGUGAGAGUAAGAUGAAAGGAAGGGCCUAACCCAGUUAUUCUACCCAAGAUGGUUUCAAAAAUCAUAGAAGAUUAUCUUGCUGAACAAAAUGUGGACAUUUGCGGUGCAUUAAUGGAAGGACGUGAUUCCAGUGUCUGA